AUGGCUUACUAUUCAGAUCAUCAUGCUUAUGUGAGCAACACUACAAACAGCACGGAAAGUGUUCAAGAACUGAUAGGUAAGAUUUCCCAUCGAUUAGAUGAUUUAGCUCGGCAGCGAGAAGGAGUUUUUGAGGAUAGGCCUAGUUCUUACGAUCCUUAUUCCAGAGGCCAUCCUUAUGUUGCUCCUACCUACCAUAUUUGUGGAUUUCAGGGCCAUUCGCCCGCUGAAUGUCAGCGUGGUUACUCCCAUCCUCCGGAUUGUUUUGGCAUGAGCUUCGCUCAACAGCAUAGCUCAUACCAAAACAAUUACUCACAUGGGUGGCCUGAAAUCCCGAAUAUGUCAUAUAGGAGCAACAACCCUGAGAUCUCAUCGUUUGCCUCUAGUUAUCCAAUGCAGGGAUUUAGGUAUGAAGAGGAGAGCCACAACUAUGCUCCACAACAGAUUUAUUCAGCUCCUACUCAUAUACCUCAACACCAGGACAUGUUGCCAACGGAGUUAAAUGGUCCUCCAUUUGGUCAACCAACACUUUCAACACAAGUGCCCACACAAGAUGACUUUGAUGAUAUAGACAAGCUCACAUUGCUUAGUCUUGAGUUCACUUGGAGUGCCGAGGAUGAUCCUAUUAGGAAGGUUAUUCUAGAGGAAAUGAAGAAGAUCAAGAGUGGAAAAGAGCUAGUGGAAGAAGUAAGGAAGAUUGAGAAGAACAUCAACGCUGGCAGCACUAUUUCUUCACAACUUGAGUUGAGUGUGGUUGAGAUAUCCAUGGAUACAUGUGAGGUUCCAACACCUUCACAUUUCGUUGAGCAAGAUAGCAAGUGCCUUGAGCAAGAGAUACCUCAGAUUAUAGAAGAUGAACUAGAAGACAAGGAACAAGAUGAUCAAGAGCUGCAAUUCCCAAGUGAUCAAGUUGAAGACUCAUCAUCUAUUACUCCUGAAGAAGUACAAGAAGCUGCUGUAGAUGAAGAUGAAGAACAUGAGAUUCAUUUGCCUAUUGUCAUACCAGAGUGUGAUGUGUCAGGUUUACUCAAUCCUCUUGAUGACAUGAUGCCUUGUGAUUUCUUUGCUACUACCUUGCAUUACAUGAUACCAUCACUUAAGAUUGAUUUGAAAACUCAUUUGCUUGGAUAUGAUGAUAUAUACCCUGUUAGUGGCAUUACUCUCAUUUGUGAUGAUCAUAGUUACUUUCCUCGUGCUAGUCCUAUGCUUAAUGAAACAUAUCAUUCCCAUGCUAGUCUUGAGCUUAAUGAUAAAUAUCAUCCUCAUGUUAGUGCUGACCUUGCUGAUUUCUACCAUCCUAAACAUGUGCUUUAUAGCUAUGCUUAUGUAAUUGGAUAUUCGAUUGAUGACUUGGAGGGUAUUAUCCCUACCACUUGCAUUGUGUCUUUGGUUGAGUGCUCUUUCAGGUUGUUGCUUGUGCACGAUCCAAUACAUGCUGACCAGGUUCGAGGUGACAUUCCUUGGGAUCCUGGUGGAGUCAGAGCAUGGCGAUGA
rnacentral:rRNA from 1 species